rnacentral:rRNA from 1 species
UACGUAGGGGGCAAGCGGUGUCCGGAAUUAUUGGGCGUAAAGCGCGCGCAGGCGGUCUCUUAAGUCUGAUGUGAAAGCCCACGGCUCAACCGUGGAGGGUCAUUGGAAACUGGGAGACUUGAGUGUAGGAGAGGAAAGUGGAAUUCCACGUGUAGCGGUGAAAUGCGUAGAGAUGUGGAGGAACACCAGUGGCGAAGGCGACUUUCUGGCCUAUAACUGACGCUGAGGCGCGAAAGAGUGGGGAGCAUACAGG